GGCCUAACACAUGCAAGUCGAGCGGAUGAAGAGAGCUUGCUCUCUGAUUCAGCGGCGGACGGGUGAGUAAUGCCUAGGAAUCUGCCUGAUAGUGGGGGACAACGUUUCGAAAGGAACGCUAAUACCGCAUACGUCCUACGGGAGAAAGCAGGGGACCUUCGGGCCUUGCGCUAUCAGAUGAGCCUAGGUCGGAUUAGCUAGUUGGUGAGGUAACGGCUCACCAAGGCGACGAUCCGUAACUGGUCUGAGAGGAUGAUCAGUCACACUGGAACUGAGACACGGUCCAGACUCCUACGGGAGGCAGCAGUGGGGAAUAUUGGACAAUGGGCGAAAGCCUGAUCCAGCCAUGCCGCGUGUGUGAAGAAGGUCUUCGGAUUGUAAAGCACUUUAAGUUGGGAGGAAGGGCAUUAACCUAAUACGUUAGUGUUUUGACGUUACCGACAGAAUAAGCACCGGCUAACUUCGUGCCAGCAGCCGCGGUAAUACGAAGGGUGCAAGCGUUAAUCGGAAUUACUGGGCGUAAAGCGCGCGUAGGUGGUUUGUUAAGUUGAAUGUGAAAGCCCCGGGCUCAACCUGGGAACUGCAUCCAAAACUGGCAAGCUAGAGUAUGGCAGAGGGUGGUGGAAUUUCCUGUGUAGCGGUGAAAUGCGUAGAUAUAGGAAGGAACACCAGUGGCGAAGGCGACCACCUGGGCUAAUACUGACACUGAGGUGCGAAAGCGUGGGGAGCAAACAGGAUUAGAUACCCUGGUAGUCCACGCCGUAAACGAUGUCGACUAGCCGUUGGGAUCCUUGAGAUCUUAGUGGCGCAGCUAACGCAUUAAGUCGACCGCCUGGGGAGUACGGCCGCAAGGUUAAAACUCAAAUGAAUUGACGGGGGCCCGCAC
rnacentral:rRNA from 1 species